rnacentral:rRNA from 1 species
AAUGAACGUUGGCGGCAUGGAUUAGGCAUGCAAGUCGAGCGAGAAGGAAAUCAAAGUUUACUUUGGUUUCCGGAAAGCGGCGAAAGGGAGAGUAACGCGUAGUUAUCUACCCCAAGGCCCGGAAUAGCUGCGGGAAACUGCAGGUAAUGCCGGAUAAUAUCCCCGGAUCAAAGGUGUGAUUCCGCCUUGGGAGGAGACUGCGUUGUACUAGCUUGUUGGUAGGGUAAUGGCCUACCAAGGCUACGAUGCAUAGCGGGCGUGAGAGCGUGGCCCGUCUCACUGGGACUGAAACACUGCCCAGACACCUACGGGUGGCUGCAGUCGAGAAUCUUCGACAAUGGGCGAAAGCCUGACCGAGCGAUGCCGCGUGCGGGAUGAAGGCCCUCGGGUUGUAAACCGCUGUCGUAGGGGAGAAAGGACCGUUGAAGAGACGGUUUUGAUCUAUCCUAGGAGGAAGUCCGGGCUAAGUUCGUGCCAGCAGCCGCGGUAAGAC